rnacentral:rRNA from 1 species
UACAGAGGUCUCAAGCGUUGUUCGGAUUCAUUGGGCGUAAAGGGCGCGUAGGCGGCGGGGUAAGUCGGGUGUGAAAUGCCGGGGCUCAACCCCGGGACUGCGUCCGAUACUUCCGAGCUGGAGGUAGGUAGGGGAGAUCGGAAUUCCUGGUGUAGCGGUGAAAUGCGCAGAUAUCAGGAGGAACACCGGUGGCGAAGGCGGAUCUCUGGGCCUUACCUGACGCUGAGGCGCGAAAGCUAGGGGAGCGAACAGG